rnacentral:lncRNA from 1 species
CGCACAUUAAGUACCAGAAGGCUGCCUGUUCUUCCACAAGUACAGAUUGAGAUGCUCAGAGCCCCGGUCAGAACAACAGCGGAACAGUUGGGGGACACUUGAGCCAGGAAUUAGACGAAGGAUGCGUCUCCUGCUUUGUUGUUGGAACUGGCCCUAGAUCACUCGCAAACUGUGCUGGUGGAGGACGGCAGAGCAGAGGGAUCUUCCUUCAGGUUGCUCUCCAAGAAGCGGGUAAAGGCUGUUUCUUCACGCCCAAUUAUUACUGGAAGAGCUGCUUCCCUCUCAUCUCAUUCAAUUCUCUAAUUCGACACAUGAGAAACUCUCGACCCAGAGCUUUCAAGCAGUUUCCCUUAGGGGAAGAAACAAAGAAUCAGAGAGCACAUCCAGAAAAGCCUCUGGAACCACUCCCACAAGCUGAGGGUCUGCUGUAGAUCUCGCUUCCUUGGUGCUCACAAAGUUUCAUCAACUCCUGGGGGGCAGAUCUGUCAGCUUUUCCAAGGGAUUGGGUGACAUCCAAAUGUCAUGUUGGAAAGUACCACUUAGUAGUCUCUCUCUCCUGGAAUGAAAGAAUCUUUGAGUCAACAUGGGAACAUCACAUAUUCAACAGCUUCCCAAAGGCUUAAAUGUUGAUUUAUCUGUGUUGCUGGCCAACCCAGGCUCCUUGCUGACUUAGCACAUGGACUGGAGAGAAUCGUACCUUUUAGUCUGAAGAUCAGGAUCCAUAAUCUAAAGGAGCAAGAGGCAGCAGGAGACUCAUCCCCAAUAUCCUCUCUUAGUCUUCCAACUCAAAACUGGCCAACAGGACUGAACAAACCGAAAAUGUGAACACACAUUGCUUUGCAAGAUGCCAUUGAUGUCACAGCACAGCCAUUUGGAAAAAGUGAGAUAGGCCCUAGUUUUCCCUUCAAAUAACUAGUUCCAUAGCAAAAAAUAAAAAUUAGCAUUGUUUUUUUCUUUUUAAGACUACGUGACAGUAAACAACAAUUUGGCUAAGUUUUUUUUCCUAACAGAAUGUUUUUGAGUAUCAUGUAGUCAUUCCUGUAGUCAAAGCACAAAUUAGUCCACAGAGGUGACUAAUUUUUUUAAAAGUUGCAACUUUCCUUGGUAAUCUAUUCCUAAGCUUUACAAUUUUCUCUCCCAAGAAUUUAUUCCUCACGUUGGACCUGGACCAUUUCUCUCACAACUGUCUCUUCUUUUGUCUUCAGAAAAAAUAAAGAACAUUAUAUUACUAAAUACAAUGGUGUAGUAUACCUUUGCCUAAGUGAAAUAUUGGUCUGUUCCCUCAAAUUUCUCCCAUGCAACUCAAAUAAUCAUAAAAUCCUAAUUUCUUCAUCUCCUUCUUAUACGUUAUUGUUUAUACAUAGGUGCUAUCUGUUGUUUCCAAAGUUCUAAAUAGUUCUGACACUUGCGAUUCAGAAUUGGUGCUGUCUUCUCAAGUUCUUGGUCAAAGAUCUUCCGCCGAAAGCCUGAUUGAGGGCCACCUGGGCAGCAGCCAUCGACGUAUCUGGGAGGCCCCAGUCUCCUCUGAGCAUGGUGGUUAAGACUGUGGGAGUGGAGGCAGACCAAUCUGUGUUUGAAUUCCAGCUAUGCCAUUUACUGUUUGUUCAUACUUGGGUAGUAAUUAACAGCCCUGUGCUUAGGAAAUGAGGCUAGUAAUUGUACCUAUUUUGUAAAAUUUUUAUGAAGAUGGAAUGAGACAAAACCGUGAAAUAAUAGACACUUCGACAAUCAUGUUAGGGAUUGUUAGAAUAAAC